GAGCGAACGCUGGCGGCAGGCUUAACACAUGCAAGUCGAGCGGGCGUAGCAAUACGUCAGCGGCAGACGGGUGAGUAACGCGUGGGAACGUACCUUUUGGUCCGGAACAACACAGGGAAACUUGUGCUAAUACCGGAUAAGCCCUUACGGGGAAAGAUUUAUCGCCGAAAGAUCGGCCCGCGUCUGAUUAGCUAGUUGGUGAGGUAAUGGCUCACCAAGGCGACGAUCAGUAGCUGGUCUGAGAGGAUGAUCAGCCACAUUGGGACUGAGACACGGCCCAAACUCCUACGGGAGGCAGCAGUGGGGAAUAUUGGACAAUGGGCGCAAGCCUGAUCCAGCCAUGCCGCGUGAGUGAUGAAGGCCCUAGGGUUGUAAAGCUCUUUUGUGCGGGAAGAUAAUGACGGUACCGCAAGAAUAAGCCCCGGCUAACUUCGUGCCAGCAGCCGCGGUAAUACGAAGGGGGCUAGCGUUGCUCGGAAUCACUGGGCGUAAAGGGUGCGUAGGCGGGUCUUUAAGUCAGGGGUGAAAUCCUGGAGCUCAACUCCAGAACUGCCUUUGAUACUGAGGAUCUUGAGUUCGGGAGAGGUGAGUGGAACUGCGAGUGUAGAGGUGAAAUUCGUAGAUAUUCGCAAGAACACCAGUGGCGAAGGCGGCUCACUGGCC
rnacentral:rRNA from 1 species